rnacentral:rRNA from 1 species
AUGCAAGAUGGUAACCCGUUGGCCUUCUUCAGUAAGUCUCUCGGACCGUGCAAUCAAGGCCUUUCGGCAUAUGAGAAAGAAUUCAUGGCAGUGUUAAUGGCGGUGGAUCAUUGGCAUCCAUAUUUACAGUCGGGAGAGUUCAUUAUACGUACUAAUCAACACAGCCUCGCCCAUCUUGAUGAUCAGCGACUGACAACUCCCUAGCAACGGCGUGCUCUCACAAAACUCCUUGGGCUUCAAUACAAGAUUGUCUAUAAGAAAGGCGUGGAGAAUCGAGCAGCAGAUGCCUUGUCUCGCCGGCAUGGAGCACUGCUGGCUAUCUCUGUGGCUUUGCCCACUUGGCUGAAUGAGAUCACGAAGGGGUACCAGUCUGACCUGCAUGCUUGUGAGCUGCUGCAGAAAUACACUGGGGCAACAGAUCCUACGGCUGCUUAUACAGUGCAUGAUGGAGUGAUCAAAUACAAAGGACGCGUGUGGCUAGGUUCUAACAAGGCAGCUCAAGAUCUCAUUUUGAGUCAGAUGCAUUCUAGUCCGUCAGGGGGGGCAUUCUGGUAUCCAUGUGACUUAUGA